AUUGAACGCUGGCGGCAGGCCUAACACAUGCAAGUCGAGCGAGCGGCGGACGGGUGAGUAAUGUAUGGGAACCUGCCUGAUAGAGGGGGAUAAAUACUGGAAACGGUGGCUAAUACCGCAUACUAUCAGAUGAGCCCAUAUGGGAUUAGCUAGUAGGUGGGGGAAAGGCUCACCUAGGCGACGAUCCCUAGCUGGUCUGAGAGGAUGAACAGCCACACUGGGACUGAGACACGGCCCAGACUCCGACGGGAGGCAGCAGUGGGGAAUAUUGCACAAUGGGCGCAAGCCUGAUGCAGCCAUGCCGCGUGUGUGAAGAAGGCCUUCGGGUUGUAAAGCACUUUCAGCGGGGAGGCGUUACCCGCAGAAGAAGCACCGGCUAACUCCGUGCCAGCAGCCGCGGUAAUUC
rnacentral:rRNA from 1 species